rnacentral:sRNA from 1 species
CUUGGAGCCAAACAGUCCUAAGGCUCCCGGAAGCUCUCAGAUAAGCCCUGCCACCUCUCCUGACCUCUGUGUCCUCAUGGGGAAAGUGGGGCUAACAGGAAAAUGCCCUUUGCUGCAUGUCCAGGGGAUUAAGGAAAUGGGAUCCCUCCAAGCAGAUGCAGGAAAAGGCAAAGGAGAUCUACAUGACCUUUCUGUCCAGCAAGGCCUCAUCACAGGUCAACGUGGAGGGGCAGUCUCGGCUCAACGAGAAGAUCCUGGAAGAACCGCACCCUCUGAUGUUCCAGA